rnacentral:rRNA from 1 species
UACGGGGGGUGCGAGCGUUGUCCGGAAUCACUGGGCGUAAAGGGCGCGUAGGUGGUUUGAUAAGGGUGUGGUGAAAGUCCGGGGCUCAACUCCGGAUCUGCCGUGCCGACUGUCAAACUCGAGGACUGUAGAGGCAGACGGAAUUCCGGGUGUAGCGGUGGAAUGCGUAGAGAUCCGGAGGAAGACCGGUGGCGAAGGCGGUCUGCUGGGCAGUUUCUGACACUGAGGCGCGACAGCGUGGGGAGCAAACAGGG